rnacentral:rRNA from 1 species
AGGGUGCAAGCGUUACUCGGAAUCACUGGGCGUAAAGAGCGCGUAGGCGGGAUAGCAAGUCAGAUGUUAAAUCCUAUGGCUUAACCAUAGAACUGCAUUUGAAACUGUUAUUCUAGAGUAUGGGAGAGGUAGGUGGAAUUCUUGGUGUAGGGGUAAAAUCCGUAGAGAUCAGGAGGAAUACUCAUGGCGAAGGCGGCCUGCUGGAACAUAACUGACGCUGAGGCGCGAAAGCGUGGGGAGCAA